AGGCCAGAAAUGGUUACAAGCAAGUGAAAGUGAAAAAUGCUUUCUGGAGACUAGGACGACUUAACAAAACUACAAUCUUGGUUCAAGACACAGAACAAAAACACAAUUCCUGCCCCAUGGAGCUGACAAUCUAAGAAUAAGACAAGAGACAGAUGGGAACAGACAGGUGGGGGAAGUGUCCCAGUUUGUACACUGAGCCAAAUGCUAAUGAAGAAAUUGUGACAUCUUCAAGAGAGGAAAUUUACACGAAAUAACAAAGAGAAGGAUCCUGUUCAUGAGUGACUCCGGAUUAACACUCGUCCCAAUGACACCAGAAGCACAGUUCAGAAAGGAUGAGGCCAGAACCCUUUUCAACAGAUCACCGUGUGCGAGUGCUCACCCCCUUCCAACCUCCCCCAGCCCCCAGAUCUAGGGCAAGGACUCAGGGCAAGAGUUUUCCCUACAGAACCUGCCCACGAAAGCUUAUACCCAAAUAAAUCUGUGAGUCUCUAA